rnacentral:rRNA from 1 species
CCUACGGGGGGCUGCAGUGGGGAAUAUUGGACAAUGGGCGAAAGCCUGAUCCAGCCAUGCCGCGUGUGUGAAGAAGGCCUUCGGGUUGUAAAGCACUUUCAGUGGGGAAGAAAGCCUUGGGGCUAAUACCCUCGAGGAAGGACAUCACCCACAGAAGAAGCACCGGCUAACUCCGUGCCAGCAGCCGCGGUAAUACGGAGGGUGCGAGCGUUAAUCGGAAUUACUGGGCGUAAAGCGCGCGUAGGCGGUCUGAUAAGCCGGUUGUGAAAGCCCCGGGCUCAACCUGGGAACGGCAUCCGGAACUGUCAGGCUAGAGUGCAGGAGAGGAAGGUAGAAUUCCCGGUGUAGCGGUGAAAUGCGUAGAGAUCGGGAGGAAUACCAGUGGCGAAGGCGGCCUUCUGGACUGACACUGACGCUGAGGUGCGAAAGCGUGGGUAGCAAACAGGAUUAGAACCCGGGUAGUC